UACGUAGGUGGCGAGCGUUUGUCCGGAUUUACUGGGCGUAAAGAGCGCGCAGGCGGUCGUUCAAGUCGCGUGUGAAAGCCCCCGGCUCAACUGGGGAGGGUCACGCGAUACUGAUCGACUCGAAGGCAGGAGAGGGUAGUGGAAUUCCCGGUGUAGUGGUGAAAUGCGUAGAUAUCGGGAGGAACACCAGUGGCGAAGGCGAUCUUCUGGACGGAUACUGACGCUGAGGCGCGAAAGCUAGGGGAGCAAACGGG
rnacentral:rRNA from 1 species